GUUGUGACUGCCCUGGGUGUGCCUGCCUACAAGACAGCCCAUCUUGCAAGACUGUUAUUAAAAGUCUCAGUUUCGCUGAUCUUCGUGCCUGAGACGACGAGAAAGAGAACAGACCACCUGUCCAGAUAAUUUGCCUUUGGAGUCUGCAGGGCUGGUGAAGGCAUCCUGAGAUGGGGGAGGCCCCUGGGGACCUCCACAGUCAGGGCUCCCACCUCCUCUCCCACACCGCUCUGCCUCAUGCCCUGGGUUGCCUGUCUGACUGUCUCAAGACUGGGGGUUCUCCGGUGAGCAGAUGGCUGCUUAGCGUCUGAGGGGCAGACACCAUGCCGUGGUGACAGCGUGAUCCCUUGAUGGAAAGGCCACCAGAACCACUGGUAGUGCAGCUGGACACUGCGGAGCCCUGGGACCACACCCGCUGCCUCCCUCCAGACUCCUUAGGUCUAUGCCGUGUGCCUGGCUUUUUCCAACCACUCCGAAUUGAUCAUUUCCUAAUGACCACAUGGCUCAGAAACUCACAGCACAUCCUUCUAGGGGCCUCUUUCUCCCAAGUCCUCCCAGGGACUUGGCAGCUUCAUCUCUAAGGCCUGCAGAGGCUGUGGCUAUGGCUGUCCAUUGUUCUCGCUCCUUGGCUUCAGUUCAGAGCCAUCAAAUCCCUGCAGCUCGCACACUGGAACAUUCAUAUUUUGGAUAAGUCAACAAAACAGCUUCUAGAAAAUGGAAAACCCAGAGUGUGAUCUACCAGGAGCUCCUGGUUUCAACCAGUUCCUUGCUGUACCUGCUGGGCCUGUGAUACGAAGAAACAUCAUGGCUUCAAUGGCAGCCUUGGAAAUGAACUUCAUUGAAAGGGAAUUUACACUGAGGUUUAUGAUUGCUGCUAUGAAAAGAGUGCACAUCCUUUCCUUCGAAACACAAGACUAGAAAAAAAAAACUCUAAAAUUCAUACGGAACCACAGAAGACCCUGAAUAGCCAAAGCAAGCUUGAGAAAAAAGAUUUAAAAGAAAAGCUGGAGACAUCACAGCUCUUAGGUCAAAUUAUACUACAAAACUAUGGUAAUCAAAACACUAAGGUACUGGCAUAAAAACAAAUACGUAGACAAAUGGAACAAAACAGAUAGCCCAGAAAUAAGCCCAACCAUACAUGGUCAACUAGUUUUCCACAAAGGCACCAAAGAAUCAUAAUGAGGAAAGGAUGGCCUCUCCAAUAAAUGACCUUGAGAAAACUGUAUAUCCACAUGCUAAAAAAAGAAAAAAAAAAAAAAAAAGGAAAUUGGACCCUUCUCUUCCAACAUGCACAAAAAUCAACUCAAGAUGGACUAAAGACCUAAAUGUAACACCUGAAACCAUAAAAGUCCUAAAGGAAAACACACAAGAAAAACUCUAUGACAUUGGCCUUGGCAGUGAUGUUUUGGAUAUUUCAAGUUAACUCGUCAUUCACUGACUCCACAUAAAAUCCAUCCCUCAAAUAUUCUCAGAACCUAUCACCAAGACUGUGAUCACUUCUUUGGGAUGCUUUAAAGUUAAUUAGGAAAAAUAAAACUGGGUUUUACCUUUGAAAAACUUUCUAACUGUACUGAUGUGCUCAAAUAGAUGGACACAUGAAUGAAAAAUCCAGAAUUUAUUCUUUCCAUGUGGUCUAGGUCCCUCCAUAUGUUUCUCUGGAUUUUGCCAUUCACUGAAUGCACACGAACACUGAAUUUACUCUCUAUUGCUGUGUAACAAGUUAUUGUAAAAUGUAUUGGCUUAAAACAACAAAUACCAUUUUUGCAGCUUCUGUGGAUCAGGAAUCAUGAAGCAGCUUAGUCGGGUAUUUCAGGCUCAGGGCCUCUCAUGAGGUUGCACUGUAGAUGUGAGCCAAGGCUGCCGUCAUCUGAAGACUGGACUAGGGAUGGAAGCUCUGCAUUUGGGAUCAUACUCAUGGCUGUGGCCCGGAGGCCUCAUUUUUUCACCCUUGGGCCUCUCCGUGGGGCUGCUGCCAACAGGGCCUCCCUAGAAGGAAUGACCCAAGAAGAAGAAAGAAAGACCAAGCUAGAAACCACCGUGUCUUUCAUAACCCAAUAUCAGGAAUGAAGAAGCACCUCUUCUGUGUUCUUUUGGUCUCGCAGACCAACCCUGGUACCAUGUGGAAGGAAAUUACACAAGAGUGUGACUAUCAGGAAUUGAGGAUCACUGGGGCACCUGGAGGCUGGAGUCUACAGGUACUUUAUGGCGAGUCAUGGCGAUGGUGAGGAAGCAGCUACUUUCAUCACAGGUAAAAACUGAUACACAAAACACACAAACAGAGAGGAGCCCUAUAUUUCUGCUUCUCCUUCAGGGUGAAUAGCAGCCACCAUUCACCCUACCAGAGAGAUGUUCUUUAUUUUUUUAUUGCUGGCUGGAUCUUAGGCAAAAUAAGCCUCUCCUGUUUCCCCAGUUGAGGACAAUUGAGAAAGGCUUAUGUUUGCCAAAGAAUAUCUCAUGCUAGCAACAAAACUUUUAAGGAAAUAAUUACAGAAAGCACACAACACCCUACAGUGAGCAGAACGCAGCUCCUUCCCUCCACCCACCUCCCCACUACAGAGAAUGAUCCAGCCCAAUGCCAAAAGCACUGAAGCCGGGAACCCUGACUGAGAUCUCAGCUUCAAUGCUCCUUCCUCAGAGACCUUUCUGUCCCUGACCUUUCUGAGGAGUAUACCCUCUUUUUAUGGGCCCUCAAAACCCCCUCCCUGUGGCAUUUGUUUUAGUUAACAAUUCUACACUUAUGCAUGUGAAUUUGUGAUUAGCAUCCAUCUCCCCCAUCACAGUUAUGAGGGCGAGAGCUAGUUUCCUCCCUGUUGUGCAGGGCACAUAGCACAACGCCUGGCCCCGUAGUCAGGCUCACUAAAUAUUUGCUGAAAGUAGAAAUGAAUAAACAGGACUGUAGCUUCUAGGGGCUUCUGUGGGAGCCAGUAUCGCCAUUCAUACCUGGGGAUUAUGGGAUAUUUUCAACAAAAACAUGCACUUUGCACAAAGUGAAAGUCAGAGCCUGGAGCCUGUGCAAACGGUGCCUUGAGCAGCUCUACGGCGAGUGUGAGGAUGCAGUCAGGGGUCCUUCAGCAGGAGCCGGGGCAUCCUGCAGAACACAGGGCCGGGAUCUUCAGAUGUGCAGCAGGGAGGGGGCUUGGCACAGCCCCAUGAGUUUGAGAAGCUUGAGGCAUUAAGGUGAGUUUCUUGUGGUGCAGCGCGCCAGCAGUGAAGGGAAGUGGUUCUCUCUCCCCUCAUGCACAGACACGCACAAUGUCCAGGAUCCAGGCAGAGAAGCUUCAUCAAAGUUGUCUGUGUUUUGCCGCAGCCGAAUAAAAGCUGUAGGCUUUUCUAAGAAGGGUUAUAAAAGGGAGCAGCCGUGAAGCCCGUGGACAAGUCAUCAAUUACAGCAAUUACAGUAGCACCAUAACCUUCCCAGGCUUGCUGGAGGGAGGUUGCUGUGGCCACAGGAGGUGCACCGCGGAUUACAGGACUAAAGGCCUUCUCUGCUUCUUCACAGUGAUCCAUCUCUGCCCAGCACCCAAGUACUGAGUUAACCUACAACGUGGUUCAGAAUUAAAACAUAAAAUGCCAGGGCCCUCCCCCAGUUAGCAGUAUUGGUUGGAAACAUGUUUAGCAGUGAGUAACAGAAGUCCCAAGAAAUAAUGGCUAAAACAAACAAGAGUAUGUGUCUUCACAUAGUAAGGUAUCAAGAGGUGGCUGUCACUUUAAGUUCACUUUCUCAUGGAUGCCAUCAAACACCAGGUUUAUUCAACCUUCAUGCACUGCCAUCACCUUCCCAUCCACGGACUCUUCCGACAUCUGCUGAACGUCAUCACAAGGGGGCUGCCAUAGCUCCACCCGUUGUAUCAGCAUUCAGGGAAGGAGGACAGUGCCAACAAUAUGUCUGCUCAUUUUUUUAAGAGAGGAAAAGACUCUCCUGGAAGUCCACGGCAGCAUUAUGCUUACUUCUUACUUGCCAGAACUUUGUCAUAUGGUCAGACUUUAAAGCAGAGAGGUAAGAAAAUAAAUAAUCCAUCUUCAAGUCUCUAUAGUGGAUGGCAUCAGAAAAGGGGGCAGGGAUGCCUGUUUUAUAAGUCAUCUCACGUUUUCUGCUGCGUCAGCCAACUUAAUAAUUAAUCUACAUUGCCCCCCAUUUACAUUUUUUGCAAAGCAAAAAUGGCAGACUUACACCAGAACCCUAAGGGUACCAUGACACCAUGCAGGCUUUCAUUCAUUCCUUCAUGCUUCCAUUCCCUUAUUCAUUCAUUCAUAUCACAAAUAUGUGUUGGUGGCCUCCUGUAUUUCAGGCCUUUGCUGUCAGUGGAAUACAGCAACACACAAGACAGACACAGUUGCCUUCCCGCUGAGGCUGGACGUCUACAAAGAAACUCUGGACAGCUAUUUGCCAAGGCGAUGGGCACUACAGAUGAGACGCACAAAUGAUAUGACUCAUGGGUGACGCUGGGCAAACCUCGGUGGUUGAGUCCUGUUGGGUUUUCUCAUAGGAGGUGAGUGCUUCCAGGAACAUUCUUGUGCAAGACCGUGUGAGAGUAUCUCCAAGAUAGACAAGUGGAAGUGAAAUUCUGGGCCAUAGUGGAUGAACACUUGCCAAGAGGUGUUGACAAAUUAGUCUUAAAUGAACCUGUACUGCAUUUUAAGGCCUGGGAGCUCUUAGUGGCCCCAUCCUUUCCAAAGCUUGUGUGGUUGGCCGAGUAAUGUCUUCCAAGAUGUCCAAUUCCCAAUCCCUGGAACUUCUGAAUGCUAGCCUGUAUGACAAAAGAGACUCUGAAGCUGGGAUUAAGUUAAGAAUCUUGAGUGGGGAGAUUAUCCUGGAUAAUCCAAAUGGGUCCUUAUAAGAAAGAGGCAUGAGAUCAGAGAACCAGAAGGUGAUGUGAGGAUGGAAUCUAAGAGAGAGUUGAGGAUGCUGUGGCUGCUGGCUUUGAAGGUGCAGGAAGGGCCAUGAGCCAAGGAAUGUGAGAAAUGGAGCUGGAGUUGCCAGAAAAGGCAAGAACAGGGAAUCUUCCUGAGAGGCUGCAGAAGGAGCCAGCUGUGCAACACCUUGACUUUAGCCCAGCGAGACUGUUUUCCAACUUCUGAGCUCCAAAACUAAAUUGGAGGCAGAAGGUUACCAACAUUGCCUGGUGUCCAGCCAGGAGGUAGAGCGUGGUGGCAUCCAGAACCUUCCUCCAACUCCUGCCUGGCGUGGUUUUUAUUCAUCUUUGUAUUCCCAAGAAACUUCUCAGUGUCUCAGGAGUGUUAGGCACUCA
rnacentral:lncRNA from 10 species